ACGGGUGAGUAAUGUCUGGGAAACUGCCUGAUGGAGGGGGAUAACUACUGGAAACGGUAGCUAAUACCGCAUAACCUCGCAAGAGCAAAGAGGGGGACCCUCGGGCCUCUCGCCAUCAGAUGUGCCCAGAUGGGAUUAGCUAGUAGGUGAGGUAAUGGCUCACCUAGGCGACGAUCCCUAGCUGGUCUGAGAGGAUGACCAGCCACACUGGAACUGAGACACGGUCCAGACUCCUACGGGAGGCAGCAGUGGGGAAUAUUGCACAAUGGGCGCAAGCCUGAUGCAGCCAUGCCGCGUGUGUGAAGAAGGCCUUCGGGUUGUAAAGCACUUUCAGCGAGGAGGAAGGCGGUAAGGUUAAUAACCUUAUCGAUUGACGUUACUCGCAGAAGAAGCACCGGCUAACUCCGUGCCAGCAGCCGCGGUAAUACGGAGGGUGCAAGCGUUAAUCGGAAUGACUGGGCGUAAAGCGCACGCAGGCGGUCUGUUAAGUUGGAUGUGAAAUCCCCGGGCUUAACCUGGGAACUGCAUUCAAAACUGGCAGGCUAGAGUCUUGUAGAGGGGGGUAGAAUUCCAGGU
rnacentral:rRNA from 1 species